CACCAUCACACCUUUAUAUAGAGUCCUCCUAGCAAAGCCUGGUGGUCUCAUUCUUCCUAGAGGAACCCAUAGCAACAUCCUUGAAGAUGGAUUUUCUCUGAGUGUGCGUUCCACGUCUGUGAUGCCCAGCAAGAUCCAGCGGAGGCUUCCGAAUCGCACUUUCAAGAUGUGCGUUUCCAGACUGCAAAGAUGCUUGCUCUGUUUGGAGACCUUUUAAUUGUCCUGUAAGCUCUUCGUUCAUUUGAUUUUCUUCACAUAAUUUUUUGGAUAUUUUUUGGUUUUCUCCAAGUCUCUUAAAGGACACUUGUCAGUUAACAGAUACAUGAGUCUCUUCAACUCAUCUGGGACCGUGGGCCAUCUCCACAUUCUGGCUUCACUCUUUUUCUCUAAUUCCAAGCUGCGGUCAUCCAUGUGAGGUUCUCUAAAGAGAGUACACAAAAGUACCAUCUCCGGCACAGUUGCAGCCAGAGAUCUUAACUGCCUCUCCCCCUUAUCCACGACCUGUUUCAUUCAUGGGCCUGAGUUUUCUAGUGUUUUUUUCUGAUCCUUCAGUUCCCACACUCUUUGCUUCCAUCCUGUAGUUUCUUGGGCAAACAGUUCUAGACUUUCUUGAAGAUUAGUGUUUUCAUUUAACUGUCUGUUAUUUUCUUCUGAAGUCGUGCUCCAUUGUUCUGAGAAGCUUUUAAGGGUUUUGUGUGUGUGUGUGUGUGUGUGUGUUUGGUUUUUUGCUUCCGUCACUUGGGAUUGAAGGGAUUUUGAUGUAUCUUCAAGUGGCCACGUCUGUCUUUGAGGGUGAACCAACCUCAGCGCAUGAAGUAAAAGUGUAGAGGGGUCACUUUUCUGUCCUUUUCCCAGAAAGCCUCCUGUGUUCUCAAGUGAAGACCUACUCUGAUUUUUAUGAAGUGCUGCCAACACGGCGUCUGUAACUGCAAAGGACAGGCGCCACCACAAGCAGCUGGAGGCCUUCACAGGUGUGAGCCGUGAGCCCAGUCUUCUCACUGGCUCUUCCACGCGCUUUAACUGGGGCAGCAAACCUUUCAGCUAGCUCUUUUUUCCUCCUUAAAGUACGCCGGCUCCUUACUAGAGAAACCACCCCGGCAGUACCUUCCAGAGGCUCCCAGCAAAACCUGCAGAGACCUGG
rnacentral:lncRNA from 1 species